AGUUUGCGUUGUUAGUGACGAAGGGAGACUGGAAGGUUCCUUUAUCGACCUCUACGAUUAUUAGAAAAAGUGAAUUUAUCUCCCAUCAAGAUUAACAGUCAACAACGGCCGUGUUACUCGACGUCAUCUUCAAGGCUUGAGUCAAACGGUUGCUGGAUGGAGGAAAGCAGAGAUGAUGGACAGGGUGACAUCCAAGUCCCUCAAGUGGAUCUGAUGAUAUCUACACGCGUCGAACAAGCGAGAUAAGCUUCAGCAGGCGAAAGACCACGC